rnacentral:tRNA from 1 species
GGUGGAGCUCAGUGGUAGAGCAUUUGCCUACCAUGCAUGAAGCCUGGGUUUGAUCUCCGGUGUACUA